UGCUUAAAUCAGGCAGAAGUAAACAUCGAGGGAAAACUUCGUUUGUUGAGCACCGGACUUUUCUUUAUCUCUAUCAUAGCUUUUAUCGCCUAUGGAUAUUCCUUGCGAUGAUGUUCCAGGGACUUGCCAUUAUCGCAUUCAAUGAUGAAAAAUUUAAUGGGAAGACCUUUCGGGAGGUUCUCGGUCUUGCUCCAACAUUUGUUGUAAUGAAAUUUUUUGAGAGUGUCCUAGAUGUUAUCAUGAUGUUUGGGGCAUACUCUACAUCACGGAGGCUUGCUGUUGCUCAUAUUUCUCUUCGUUUUAUUUGGU